AGGUCUUGAAUACUCAUAAAGGCUCCAGAGAUGGAGAGAUAGCUAUAUGAGAUACAGGUGGUGCAUGGUUGUCGUCAGCUCGUGUCGUGAGAUGUUGGGUUAAGUCCCGCAACGAGCGCAACCCUUAUCGUUAGUUACCAUCAUUAAGUUGGGGACUCUAGCGAGACUGUCAGUGACAAGCUGGAGGAAGGCGGGGAUGACGUCAAAUCAUCAUGCCCCUUAUGACCUGGGCUACACACGUGCUACAAUGGAUGGUGCAGAGGGAAGCGAAGCCGCGAGGUGAAACAAAACCCAUAAAACCAUUCUCAGUUCGGAUUGUAGUCUGCAACUCGACUACAUGAAGUUGGAAUCGCUAGUAAUCGCGAAUCAGCAUGUCGCGGUGAAUACGUUCUCGGGUCUUGUACACACCG
rnacentral:rRNA from 1 species